AAGUCCUGAUUGAGGAGCCUGAAGAUAUCCACACUGACCAUUGAUCUGUGCAUCAGUAAGUCUGGAUCUUAAGAGGAAGAUCCACACUGGAGCACAGGUCUUCUACAAUGUGGUCAUCGUGCUGCCCACCUUUCCGAUGGAGCUGAAGGAGACGGAGUCAGAGGGACUUAAAACAGUAACAACAACAACAAAGUGACAUGGAAUCCAUGAAAGGGAGUGUGACAAAUAAGCAACUUUUCAACUGUAUUUGCAUUUAUAGAGUGUUUUAGGAAGGUAAAUAUUGAAAGGAACACAACGAAAUAAAUGAAAUUAGAAAUGCACAUUUUAUUUUGUGAAAAUACAAUU
rnacentral:lncRNA from 1 species